rnacentral:rRNA from 1 species
CCUAUAUUGCUAGGAGUGACGGGCGAUAUGUGCAUAGCCCCUGACUUUUUUGGGAAAAAAUUUUUUUUUACCUUAAUUUCAAGUCCAUCUUAUCUUAAAUACUUGUUUUUAAAUCCGGUUCGUAUCAUUAAUGUAUCCCAUAGUGAACCCAAAUUAUUGACUUUGUCUUGAUUUGUUUUUUAAACUUCUUUUUUUGUUGAAAAAAUAAAAUGGUAAGGCAAUUCUUUUUAAACAAUGAUAUGAAAGUUUAAAAAUUUGGUGCAUUUAAUCGUGGAUUGUCGAUUUAUAAAACAGGAUCCCCUGAGUAGAUUGGCUACCGCCAUUUCAUUAAGGUUUGCUUUUUAAAGUUACUUUCCAAUUACAAAUUAAAA